rnacentral:rRNA from 1 species
AGUGAACGCUGGCGGUAGGCCUAACACAUGCAAGUCGAACGGCAGCACAGUAAGAGCUUGCUCUUACGGGUGGCGAGUGGCGGACGGGUGAGAAAUACAUCGGAAUCUACUUUUUCGUGGGGGAUAACGUAGGGAAACUUACGCUAAUACCGCAUACGACCUACGGGUGAAAGCAGGGGAUCUUCGGACCUUGCGCGAUUGAAUGAGCCGAUGUCGGAUUAGCUAGUUGGCGGGGUAAAGGCCCACCAAGGCGACGAUCCGUAGCUGGUCUGAGAGGGUGAUCAGCCACACUGGAACUGAGACACGGUCCAGACUCCUACGGGAGGCAGCAGUGGGGAAUAUUGGACAAUGGGCGCAAGCCUGAUCCAGCCAUACCGCGUGGGUGAAGAAGGCCUUCGGGUUGUAAAGCCCUUUUGUUGGGAAAGAAAAGCAGCAGGUUAAUACCCCGCUGUUCUGACGGUACCCAAAGAAUAAGCACCGGCUAACUUCGUG